ACGGGCUAAUACCGAAUGAGACCACAGUUUCCUCGGAAGCAGAGGUCAAAGAUAGCCUCUAUUUAUACGCUAUCACUUAGAGAUGGGCCUGCGCACCAUUAGCUAGUUGGUAGGGUAACGGCCUACCAAGGCAAAGAUGGUUAGCUGGUCUGAGAGGAUGAUCAGCCACACUGGAACUGAGACACGGUCCAGACUCCUACGGGAGGCAGCAGUGGGGAAUAUUGCGCAAUGGCGAAAGCCUGACGCAGCAACGCCGCGUGAGUGAUGAAGGCCUUCGGGUCGUAAAGCUCUGUCGGAGGGAACGAAUGUUUUUGAGGUUAACAGCCUCAGAAAGUGACGGUACCCUCAAAGGAAGCACCGGCUAACUCUGUGCCAGCAGCCGCGGUAA
rnacentral:rRNA from 1 species